GCCUAGCUGGCUUAGUCAGUAGAGCAUGUGACUCUUGAUCUCAAGAUUGUGGUUCAGGCUCCACUUUGGGUG
rnacentral:tRNA from 1 species